rnacentral:rRNA from 1 species
GACGAACGCUGGCGGCGUGCCUAACACAUGCAAGUCGAACGAAGCACUGUGGAUAGAGACUUCGGUCAAUUGAAGCUUUGACUUAGUGGCGGACGGGUGAGUAACGCGUGAGGAACCUGCCUUUCAGAGGGGGACAACAGUUGGAAACGACUGCUAAUACCGCAUGACACAGCGAGAUCGCAUGGUCUUGCUGUCAAAGAUUUAUCGCUGAAAGAUGGCCUCGCGUCUGAUUAGAUAGUUGGUGAGGUAACGGCCCACCAAGUCGACGAUCAGUAGCCGGACUGAGAGGUUGAACGGCCACAUUGGGACUGAGAUACGGCCCAGACUCCUACGGGAGGCAGCAGUGGGGAAUAUUGGGCAAUGGCGCAAGCCUGACCCAGCAACGCCGCGUGAAGGAAGAAGGCUUUCGGGUUGUAAACUUCUUUUAAGAGGGAAGAGCAGAAGACUGUACUCUAGAAUAAGCCACGGCUAACUACGUGCCAG